rnacentral:ncRNA from 1 species
AGUUGGCUGUAGAAUGAUGCAGCUCUCUUGAGUAAUCAAGGGAUGAAGAAUAAGGUGAAUUGCUGGAAGCCUAAAGACUCUUUAACCAGAGAAUAUGGUAAUCAGCAGCCAAGCUCUGAAGUUCAGGGAAGGUUCAGAGACUAUCCCGAAAGGGAGUACUUCUCUAUAGCAAAUAGGGCAGGAAGCGCCUUGCAUCCUAGAUUUUAGGAUGAUGAUAUAGUCCACCCCUCAUGGAAACAUCUGG